ACUAACAACCAUUUCUAAUUUACGCCUGUUGCAUUCCCAGAAUUCACAGAGCAGUGUAGCUCUCCAAAAUUCACUAAUCCAAUCCUUUUUUUUAUUUUUUUAAUUAGUUAUUCCUAUUUACUAGAUCCUUGGCACUGCUUUGCUUCUUUCCAGCUCAAUCUCUCCCAGAUUCCCCCUCAUACCCUUUACCCCUCAUUGCCACUUCUGCUGUUCUUAUUCUUCUUCAUUUUUUUUUUAAUUUUUUGCGGGGUGGGGGAUGCAUUGGAGCUUCAGGAGGAAAGCAACCACCAAGAAUCAAGAUCUGUGCUUUACCUACCAUUUUGCUUUUUACUCCCACUGCAACUGUUCUUCAAUGAAAAAACCAUUUCAUUGGCAAUAACCCAGAAUCCAAUUCCACCUCCCUUUGCAAUUUUCUGCUUCAAUUUCUCACUUUUUUAACCACCUCACUCUUUUCCCUCAAAACCCCCCGUACUUUACGCUUUCACUUUGCUGCCGCUCAGCUUCUCCUCUGCUUGUUCUAAGAGAGAAAGUCUCUCUCUCUCUCUCUCUCUCUCUCUCUCUCUCUAGCCACUCCAUAUUCGCUGAUAUAUUUCUCUUCUCUUGGAUGCCAAAAUCCAUCGGAGGAGGAGACGAAGAUGGAUCUGAUGGACAUAGCUCCAACUCCAAGAUCUGUGGGUUCUAUAAAUGGCCAUAUUUAGCAUCAGCAACACCCAUCGACACCUCCGGCGAGUUCUUUGUCUCGCCGACGAUGAAGCGUUCGGUUCGUCCUCUCUUCAGUGUUCUCCUCCUCAUCAUCUUUGCUGCCACGCUUACCACCCGAAAUGUGGUUCGCCGGAGCCUAGGCUCCACCGAGCUGGACGAUAAUAAUGUGGUGGUCCAAAUCACACCGAGGCCAGUUCUCAAUGCAACUCUGCUCAAAUACGCCGCCAUUGAUAUUGGAGAAGCUCGGUCCAAGCAAGAGAUAGAGCAACUGUUGGAAGGCAACUUUGGCAGUCUUGGCAGGUACAGGACUUUCGCUGCUUGGCGACGAUUCAAUCACCGUGACUUCCGAGCCAGAACCUCCAUGGGCACUCCUUUGCUGCUCCGCUCCCCGAAUUUCUACAGGUAUUGGUUGGAUUUCCGGAGGACCCUGCAAAAUUGGGUCAGAAACAAGAGGUUUCAACCCGACAUCAUGUCGGAGCUUGUUAAACUUGUUAAGCUUCCCAUUGACAAACACAAUGGCUUGGCGGGGUUGGACAACAAUCGCUUCUCUUCGUGCGCUGUUGUGGGGAAUAGUGGGAUUUUGUUGAAAAAUGAUUACGGAGAUUUGAUUGAUAAUCAUCAAGUAGUUAUUCGAUUGAACAAUGCUAAAACCGAAGGUUAUGAGCGCAAAGUUGGAUCCAAAACGAGCAUUUCGUUUGUAAACAGUAACAUUUUGCAUCUUUGCGCCAGAAGGGAAGGCUGUUUUUGCCAUCCUUACGGAGUGAAUGUCCCUAUUGUUAUGUAUAUUUGUCAGCCUUUGCAUUUCUUGGACUACACGAUAUGCAAUUCAUCCCAUAAAGCUCCAUUGUUGGUUACGGAUGCUCGGUUCGAUGUAUUGUGUGCUAGGAUUGUCAAGUAUUAUUCUUUGAAGAGGUUUGUGGAGGUGACUGGCAAGUCUUUGGAAGAAUGGGGAUCUGAACAUGAUGGUUCGAUGUUCCAUUACUCUUCUGGAAUGCAAGCUAUAAUGCUGGCUUUGGGAAUUUGUGACAGAGUUAGUGUUUUUGGGUUUGGGAAGUCGGAUUCGGCUAAGCAUCAUUAUCAUACUAAUCAGAAGGCAGAGCUUCAUUUGCAUGAUUAUGAGGCAGAGUAUGCUUUUUAUCAUGAUUUGGUGCAAAGACCACAGUUAGUAUGAAUGAAUGGCUUUGGACAAUAAGACAAGCUGGAUUUUAUUUGCAUCCAUUUCUCUGGUUUUCUAUGCAGCAAUGAGUGGCUUCGGACAGGACUGCUAUUCUUUUCGGUUUGCACAAGCUUGCACUGGUUUGAUUGCUGUUCAGUCUUUGUAUGAUACGGAAUACAUAUGUAAAGAUUAUUGUUGGUUUGAAAUGAUACGUUCAAUUCCUUCUACCUUGUCCACACCUGCAAGGAUAGUAUAAAAAAUGAACUCAAAAAUCCUGUUUAGCCAAAAAUAAAAAAUGUGUAUACUUCUUAGGAUCUUUUCUACUGGUCUAAUUAGUAUGCUUUGACUAUUUUGCUUUGACUAUUUUGUAAUCAAGAUUUACGUUGCUUUAUUUCUUACUGUAGCUUCACUACUGAAACCCCUGAAGCUUAUUGAAGUACGUUGGAUAUUCCAUUAUCACAAAAUUUGUUGGAAGCUC